rnacentral:rRNA from 1 species
UACGAGGGGGCUAGCGUUGUUCGGAAUUACUGGGCGUAAAGCGCGCGCAGGUGGUCUUUCAAGUCAGUGGUGAAAGCCCGGAGCUCAACUCCGGAAAUGCCAUUGAAACUGUAAGACUUGAGGAUGAGAGAGGUGAGUGGAAUUCCCAGUGUAGAGGUGAAAUUCGUAGAUAUUGGGAAGAACACCGGUGGCGAAGGCGGCUCACUGGCUCAUAUCUGACGCUCAGGCGCGACAGCGUGGGGGAUCAAACAGG